rnacentral:rRNA from 1 species
GUCUAUGGCCAUGCCACCCUAGACAAGCCCGAUCCCGUCUGAUCUCGGAAGCUAAGCAGGGUUGGGCCUGGUUAGUACUUGGAUGGGAGACCACCUAGGAAGACCAGGUGCUGUAGGCA